UGAACGCUGGCGGCGUGCCUAACACAUGCAAGUCGAACGGAGUAUAUUCGCUGCAGAGAUUUCGGUCGAAGCUUGAGUAUACUUAGUGGCGGACGGGUGAGUAACGCGUGGGCAACCUGCCUCAUACUGGGGGAUAGCAGUUGGAAACGACUGAUAAUACCGCAUAAGCGCACGGAGUCGCAUGACUUUGUGUAGAAAAACCUCCGGUGGUAUGAGAUCGGGCCCGCGUCAGAUUAGCCAGUUGGCAGGGUAACGGCCUACCAAAGCGACGAUCUGUAGCCGGCCUGAGAGGGCGGACGGCCACAUUGGGACUGAGACACGGCCCAAACUCCUACGGGAGGCAGCAGUGGGGGAUAUUGCACAAUGGAGGAAACUCUGAUGCAGCGACGCCGCGUGAAGUGAAGAAGUAUUUCGGUAUGUAAAGCUCUAUCAGCAGGGAAGAAAGGCUCCGCAAGGAGAGAUGACGGUACCUGACUAAGAAGCCCCGGCUAACUACGUGCCAGCCGCCGC
rnacentral:rRNA from 1 species